rnacentral:rRNA from 1 species
AACGCGAAGAACCUUACCUGGGCUUGAACCGCCGGCGACCAGCAGUGGAAACAUUGCCUUCCCGCAAGGGACGCCGGUAGAGGUGCUGCAUGGCUGUCGUCAGCUCGUGCCGUGAGAUGUUGGGUUAAGUCCCGCAACGAGCGCAACCCUUGUCCUGUGUUGCCAUCAUUUAGUUGGGCACUCUCAGGAGACCGCCAGCGAUAAGCUGGAGGAAGGUGGGGAUGAUGUCAAGUCAUCAUGGCCUUUAUGUCCAGGGCUACACACGUGCUACAAUGGCCGGUACAAAGCGCUGCAAACUCGCAAGAGGGAGCUAAUCGCAAAAAACCGGUCUCAGUUCGGAUCGCAGGCUGCAACUCGCCUGCGUGAAGCUGGAAUCGCUAGUAAUGCCGUAUCAGAACGAUGGCGUGAAUACGUUCCCGGGCCUUGUACACACCGAGACGAC